UGACCUGCUAAAAGGUCUUUUGACAAUUCUUAAAUCCUCAUUCAUUACUAUACUGCUCUUUUCUGGCCACCUCACUUUUCCACUUUCUUUCCAAACUACAGAGCCACAUUAGCUUCUUACUGUUCUGAUAACAAGAAUUGUUGUUAUUGAAAUAGUUCUUUCCCUUUUCACACAAAAUAUGAAUCCCAUGGCCCUGUGCAGCACAGCUGCUCAACUGUAUCUCAGUCCAAGUCUGAAUUUCAAUUCAUUUUUGACUGAAACACAGGUCUCAAUUUUGUUUCCCUUUCCCUGUCUUAUUUUAUCAUAGUCCUUUUUGAAUUAUCUCAAAGCACUAUUUGAAUUAUCUCAAAAUCCUCCGUAUCUUAAACCUUGAAGAUCUUCACGUUUAUAUGACCCAAUCUCAAAGUAAACAGGAUUUUAUUAACUUUACAUUCCAAGUCUACAAGCAUUCUUAUGCUUAACUGUAUCUCUGCAAGUAUUUAUAGGUUCAGGUAAUCGAUCAGGUGAUUGAUAAUCUAUUGAUUCUAGUUAACAGUAGGGACAAACUGACUGUGACAUCACAGUCAUAGGUUUGGUAGCCUGGCUACCAACUCUGUCUUCUAGGACACUGCUUUGUAACCCAUUACUAAUGUGCCUGCUGCUCACAUAAUGUAUAUUCCAUUGUCUUUCUUUUGUAACAUUUUAUUCUAAGAUUUUGAGAUAUUCUUUCUCAUUUCAUUAACCUUAAAUUACAUAAAUUGUCUGUCAUUCAUAUUUUCUUUCCUUAGACAGCCUCCUUUGAUUCCAGCACUUUCUUACUUCCUCUCUUUUUUUUUUUUUUCUCUAGAAUACAGAGAGGUCUAGAAUUCAAACUAUUCCUGCAGCAGACUAUGCAAAGUUUACGACAUAUGAGGAAGAUAAGCAGGCCAAGGUCCUGAUUCUAAUUCUGAAGGAGCACAGGACAAGGUUUAGGAAACAUGGAUAUUGGUGGAUCUUGUGCAGAGUUCAGCACCUCCAGGACUUUGAAUUCACUGUACAGAUCCUUGGCACUCCUGACACUUGCUGCAGAGCAGUUCUGUGUGGCAGUGCUGAGAAAGGGAACCUCUGCACGGUUCUCUGACAGAUCCUGGUUUUACAGGUCUUAAAACUCACACAGAGAAGUUCUGCAGAUUACACUCUCUACUUUCCCCCUCGGAGGGAUUGGGGAUUCUUAAAUAUUCCUUUUACAGACCUGCCGGGUGUCCGCAGGCUUUGCCCCGGGAAGCAGCCCCCGGUGUGGAGGAGGGUGUGAACAGUGCGAGCAGAGCUGGAGCAGUGCGAGCAGUGCAGGGCAAUUCCUGCCGGGGAAACGCCGCCUCCCCGGAGCAGCCCAUGGGAAUCGCAUCCAGCGAGGCGGGGGAGCUCGGGAGCGCCGAGUGCGGGACUGCGCAGGGGUGCGGAGGUGGAGAGCAGGAAUGUCGAGCGCGGGAUGUGGAGGGCGGUAUGCGGA